AAUAUGUCACCGUGGCGCGCAGUUCUAAUUUCAUUUUGAAUGUUAACGUAGGCGCCACGACUUCCGAUUUUGGUGCCUACGACGCACUAAACGUAAGCCAAAAGCGGUUGUUCUCAGCGAGCCGCACUGCGCUUAGCCAGUGGACUCGUGGUCGCACCCUGCGGCGGCCGAGGGGUGUAUAUUGCAUA
rnacentral:lncRNA from 1 species